GAUGAACGCUGGCGGCGUGCCUAAUACAUGCAAGUCGAGCGAACGGACGAGAAGCUUGCUUCUCUGAUGUUAGCGGCGGACGGGUGAGUAACACGUGGAUAACCUACCUAUAAGACUGGGAUAACUUCGGGAAACCGGAGCUAAUACCGGAUAAUAUUUUGAACCGCAUGGUUCAAAAGUGAAAGACGGUCUUGCUGUCACUUAUAGAUGGAUCCGCGCUGCAUUAGCUAGUUGGUAAGGUAACGGCUUACCAAGGCAACGAUGCAUAGCCGACCUGAGAGGGUGAUCGGCCACACUGGAACUGAGACGCGGUCCAGACUCCUACGGGAGGCAGCAGUAGGGAAUCUUCUGCAAUGGGCGAAAGCCUGACGGAGCAACGCCGCGUGAGUGAUGAAGGUCUUCGGAUCGUAAAACUCUGUUAUUAGGGAAGAACAUAUGUGUAAGUAACUGUGCACAUCUUGACGGUACCUAAUCAGAAAGCCACGGCUAACUACGUG
rnacentral:rRNA from 1 species